rnacentral:lncRNA from 1 species
AUUCACUUUUUUGGAUUCAAGCGUGGGUUUUAUGCCGGCUUCCAACACAACUUGGGCAAACGACAGCAAAUGUUUCUUGCCAAACAUUUCUUUCGCCCCUCUGCCAGCCCCCCACCCCCCCCGGGGGGCGGGGGGGGGGGGGGGGGGCUCAAAGGACCGAACAACCCCAGGCCGGGCUCGGACUCCCGGUACCGGAGCGGGCCCGGGGCUUGAAGGAGAGCUCCGGGGAGGGAUGUUGGGGAUAAUAGGGGGGAUUUUGGGGAUGAUGGGGGGGGAUAAGGCAGCGCAGGCGCUGUGGCAGCAGGGCCGGAGCGGGGCGGAGCGGCGGCGGGGCCGUGUGGUGCCGGGCCGGGCCGCCCGCCUAUUUGAGGCAAAGUAGCGGGGCGCGGGCGCUCAGUGCCGGCCGUGAGGCAGCGGGCGAGCGGCCGCCGCUCGGUGCCCGCCUCCGUCCCUCCCUCCCCUCCUCCCCCCGGCCCUCCUCCUUCUCCUCAUCCUCCUCCUCCUCCUCCCCCCCCCCCCCCCCCCCCUCCCCCCCCCCCCUCCCCAGCACCGCCGCGCUCUCCGCACGGGUGCUGGCGGUGUCGGUGCUGCUGCUGCUGGUGGUGGUGGCGGCGGCGGGGGGAGCCGCCCCGCGGGGCCGCCUCUGCCCCUUCCCCUUUCCCCGCCGCGCUUUUUUCAUGGCAACAUGGCGAUGGCGGCUCCGACCGGCAGCGCGGCGCUCUGCGGCCACCUGGCCCUGCUGCUGCUGCUGCUCCUCGCCGCCCCCGCCGCGCUCGGCUACAGCUUCCCGCAGCAGCACACGUAAGUGCCGCCCCCGGGACACCCCCACACACCCCCCCCCACAUCCCCAUAUACAGCCCCAUACACCCCCGCACCGGCUCUGGGGAGCCCUUUUGGGGGGCACCGCCGCGGGGGUCGCCCGGCUGCGGGAGCGGCUCGGCGCUGCCCGGCUCCCUUCGGCCCCCCGGGGGGGUGCGGAGCGGCCCCGAAGUUAGCGGGGAGCUCAAACUUCGCCGCUGGGCUGC